UACGGAGGGGGCUAGCGUUGUUCGGAAUUACUGGGCGUAAAGCGCGCGCAGGCGGUCCUUUAAGUCAGGGGUGAAAGCCCAGAGCUCAACUCUGGAACUGCCUUUGAAACUAGAGGACUUGGGUACGGGAGAGGUGAGUGGAAUUCCGAGUGUAGAGGUGAAAUUCGUAGAUAUUCGCAAGAACACCAGUGGCGAAGGCGGCUCACUGGCCCGGUACUGACGCUGAGGUGCGAAAGCGUGGGGAGCAAACAGG
rnacentral:rRNA from 1 species